AGAAAAAAAAAAUUAAAUUAAAUAAAUAAUAAAAAAGAACUUUUCACUCAUCCCAAGCUGGGAUUUCCCAAUCCCUCUCUGCUCCCAGGCCAGGGCUGUGCAGCAGCUGCUCCACCAGGCACAUUCCUGCAGCCUUGCUCAUUCCAGCAGCCUGGCAUGAGCAGCCUCUUCCCACCACUGGGGAGAUUUUCUGGAUAUCAGGGCAGAUCUUCUGCUGCCUCUCGGGGGUCUCCAAACAUUGUUCAGUCAAGAUCUGGUGCUGAAAAAAAAAAAAAAAAAAAAAAAAAUUGGAAAAAAAAAAAAAAAGCUUCAUGCACAUGGACACAUCCAGCAGGGAACCAAGAUCUUGUGCAAAAAAACCCCCCAAAAUUAAAAAAUAAUAGCUCCCCACACACGUAAAUGCACAUGGGCACACCCAGCAGGGAAUCAAGAUCUGGUGUAAAAAAAAAAAAAAAUCAAAAAAAUAGCUGUACACAUACAAAUUUUCGUGGACAAUGCAGCAGGGGAUCUUCCCCCACCUCGGGGGUCUCUCCUAUCUCAGAUGAGAUUUUAAGCCAAGGGUUGAGUUUUGGGUUAAAAAUGGCUCUCAAGCAGCAGGGCCAGCUCAGAGUGGGGGUUCUGGGGGAGUUCGUGAGGCUUGGAGGGACAGGAGGAGCGGGAAUGGCUCUGAGCUAGAAGAGGGACGGUGAAAUGGGAUCUCUGGGAGGAAUUCCUCCCUGGCACGGCGCUCCCAGAGCAGCUGGGGCAGUGCCCAAGGCCAGGCUGGACGGGCUGGGAGCAGCCUGGGAUGUGGGAGGGGGGCUCCGGCUGGGCUGGGGGGCGCCCCCAACCCAAACCACCCUGGGAUUGACUCCACGGUUCGUUCAUGGUUCAUUCGUGACUCAUUCGCGAUUCACUCGUGAUUCCAUGAGGGGUCUCACCCACACCUGCCCGUCCCCCUCAUCCCUGAGCUCCAGGGGAGCUGGGGGCAGAGUGAGGAGGCGGAGGAGGGGGUUGUGACCCGAAAGGGGCACUGGAGAGCAGCUGCCCCACAUCUGGUCCUCGUUCCCUCAUCCCUUGGAUCACAGCUUGGGAGUGGCUUCCCUCCUAUUCCUGCAUCCAAUUCCUGCUCCUGUUCCCAUUCCUGCAUCCAAUUCCUGCUCCUGUUCCCAUUCCUGCAUCCAAUUCCUGCUCCUAUUCCUGCAUCCAAUUCCUGUUCCUAUUCCUGCAUCCAAUUCCUGCUCCUGUUCCCAUUCCUGCAUCCAAUUCCUGUUCCUGUUCCUAUUCCUGCAUCCAAUUCCUGCUCCUGUUCCUAUUCCUGCAUCCUAUUUCUGCAACCAAUUCCUGAAUCCUAUUCCUGUUCCUGUUCCCAUUCCUGUAUCCAAUUCCUGUUCCUUGGUCUGCUCCUUUCCCUAUUCCUGUUCCCAUUCCUGGUCCUCUUCUUUUUCUUCUUCCUCUUCCUCUUCCUCUUCCUCUUCCUCUUCCUCUUCCUCUUCCUCUUCCUCUUCCUAUUCUUAUUCCUAUUCCUAUUCCUAUUCCUAUUCCUAUUCCUAUUCCUAUUCCUAUUCCUAUUCCUAUUCCUAUUCCUAUUCCUAUUCCUAUUCCUAUUCCUAUUCCUAUUCCUAUUCCUAUUCCUAUUCCUAUUCCUAUUCCUAUUCCUAUUCCUAUUCCUAUUCCUAUUCCUAUUCCUAUUCCUAUUCCUAUUCCUAUUCCUAUUCCCGUUCCUAUUCCUAUUCCCGUUCCUAUUCCUGUUCCCGUUCCUAUUCCAGUUCCUGUUCCCAUUCCCAUUCCCAUUCCUGUUCCCGUUCUGCAGUCCCACUUUGACACUCCCAGCCCAAACCCAAGGGAAUUUGUCCAUCUCUGUCCUCUCUUGGUUUCCCCACAUUGGAAAGUGAGUUUCCCCGAGCGCUGAACUCCCGUGAGCGCUGAACUCACUCCCGUGAGCGCUGAACUCCCCUGUAAGAGAGCGAUUUUCCCGUUUACAAUACAAUAAAUCUUCUUCUAUGUU
rnacentral:lncRNA from 12 species